UACGUAGGUCCCGAGCGUUGUCCGGAUUUAUUGGGCGUAAAGCGAGCGCAGGUGGUUUAUUAAGUCUGGUGUAAAAGGCAGUGGCUCAACCAUUGUAUGCAUUGGAAGCUGGUAGACUUGAGUGCAGGAGAGGAGAGUGGAAUUCCAUGUGUAGCGGUGAAAUGCGUAGAUAUAUGGAGGAACACCGGUGGCGAAAGCGGCUCUCUGGUCUGUAACUGACACUGAGGCUCGAAAGCGUGGGGAGCAAACAGG
rnacentral:rRNA from 1 species